CCCUAGUAACGGCGAGUGAAGCGGCAACAGCUCAAAUUUGAAAUCUGGCGCAAGCCCGAGUUGUAAUUUGUAGAGGAUGCUUCUAGGUAGCGACCGGUCUAAGUUCCUUGGAACAGGACGUCAUAGAGGGUGAGAAUCCCGUAUGUGACCGGCCCGCACCUUCUACGUAGCUCCUUCGACGAGUCGAGUUGUUUGGGAAUGCAGCUCUAAAUGGGAGGUAAAUUUCUUCUAAAGCUAAAUACCGGCCAGAGACCGAUAGCGCACAAGUAGAGUGAUCGAAAGAUGAAAAGCACUUUGGAAAGAGAGUUAAAAAGCACGUGAAAUUGUUGAAAGGGAAGCGCUCACAACCAGACUUCUGGGCGGUGUUCCGCCGGUCUUCUGACCGGUCUACUCACCGUCCCGAGGCCAACAUCAUCUGGGACCGCUGGAUAAGACCUCAGGAAUGUAGCUCCCCCUCGGGGGAGUGUUAUAGCCUGUGGUGAUGCAGCGCGUCUCGGGUGAGGUCCGCGCUUCGGCAAGGAUGUUGGCGUAAUGGUUGUCAGCGGCCCGUCUUGAAACACGGACCAAGGAGUCUAACAUCUAUGCGAGUGUUCGGGUGUCAAACCCCUACGCGUAAUGAAAGUGAACGGAGGUGGGAAGCGUAAGCUGCACCAUCGACCGAUCCUGAUGUCCUCGGAUGGAUUUGAGUAAGAGCAUAGCUGUUGGGACCCGAAAGAUGGUGAACUAUGCCUGAAUAGGGUGAAGCCAGAGGAAACUCUGGUGGAGGCUCGCAGCGGUUCUGACGUGCAAAUCGAUCGUCAAAUUUGGGUAUAGGGGCGAAAGACUAAUCGAACCAU
rnacentral:rRNA from 1 species